rnacentral:rRNA from 1 species
GACAAACGCUGGCGGCGUGCCUAAUACAUGCAAGUCGAACGAACAGAACAGGGGCUUUCUUCUCUGUUGUACUCGACGGUUUGUUGCGUAUCGCUUGGUAACCCUUCCUCUAAGACUGUGAUAACUUCGAGAAACCUGAGCUAAUCCCAGCUAAUAUUUUAAACCACCUUUUUUUCACGUGAAAUAAGGUCUUACUGUCACCUUUACAUUGAUCCGCGAUGCAUUAGCUAGUUGGUAAGGUAACGGCUUACCAAGGCAACGAUGCAUAGCCGACCUGAGAGGGUGAACGGCCACAUUGGAACUGAGACACGGCCCAGACUCCUACGGGAGGCAGCAGUAGGGAAUCUUCCGCAAUGGGCGAAAGCCUGACGGAGCAACGCCGCGUGAGUGAAGAAGGUCUUCGGGUUGUAAAACUCUGUUAUUAGCGAAGAGAGAAUGUUGAAGUAACUGAGAACACCAGGACGGUAGAUGAGCAGGAAGCCACGGCUAACUACGUG